rnacentral:rRNA from 1 species
ACGGGUGAGUAACACGUGGGCAAUCUGCCCUUCACUCUGGGACAAGCCCUGGAAACGGGGUCUAAUACCGGAUAUCACUUCUGCAGGCAUCUGUGGGAGUUGAAAGCUCCGGCGGUGAAGGAUGAGCCCGCGGCCUAUCAGCUUGUUGGUGAGGUAAUGGCUCACCAAGGCGACGACGGGUAGCCGGCCUGAGAGGGCGACCGGCCACACUGGGACUGAGACACGGCCCAGACUCCUACGGGAGGCAGCAGUGGGGAAUAUUGCACAAUGGGCGAAAGCCUGAUGCAGCGACGCCGCGUGAGGGAUGACGGCCUUCGGGUUGUAAACCUCUUUCAGCAGGGAAGAAGCGAAAGUGACGGUACCUGCAGAAGAAGCGCCGGCUAACUACGUGCCAGCAGCCGCGGUAAUACGUAGGGCGCAAGCGUUGUCCGGAAUUAUUGGGCGUAAAGAGCUCGUAGGCGGCUUGUCACGUCGGGUGUGAAAGCCCGGGGCUUAACCCCGGGUCUGCA